UUCGGAGUAGUUCAACGGUAGAACGGCUGGCUGUUAACCAGACGAUUGAGGUUCGAGUCCUUGCUCCGGAG
rnacentral:tRNA from 1 species